rnacentral:rRNA from 1 species
GCCCUUAGAGUUUGAUCCUGGCUCAGGACGAACGCUGGCGGCGUGCCUAACACAUGCAAGUCGAACGAAGCGUUCUGGUUCGGUUUAUCUGAACCGGGAUGACUUAGUGGCGGACGGGUGAGUAACACGUGGGUAACCUACCUGGGAGACCGGGAUAACAGCUCGAAAGGGCUGCUAAUACCGGAUAAGGUAUAGGGGAUUAGGUUCCACUAUACCAAAGGCGUUAAGUAGUGCUCCUGGAUGGGCCCGCGGCUCAUUAGCUAGUUGGUAAGGUAAGGGCUUACCAAGGCGAUGAUGGGUAGCCGGUCUGAGAGGAUGGUCGGCCACACUGGGACUGAGAACGGCCCAGACUCCUACGGGAGGCAGCAGUGGGGAAUAUUGCGCAAUGGGGGCAACCCUGACGCAGCGACGCCGUGUGAGUGAAGAAGGCCCUCGGGUUGUAAAGCUCUGUCAGGGGGGAAGAAGGAGACGGUACCCCCUGA